rnacentral:rRNA from 1 species
UCGAGCGGUAGCAUGCUUAGUAGCAAUACUAAGUGAUGACAAGCGGCGGACGGGUGAGGAAAACGUGGGAAUCUACCCUCAAGCGGGGGACAACCAAGGGAAACUUUGGCUAAUACCGCAUAAUCUCGAGAGAGCAAAGCUGCCGCAAGGUGGCACUUGAGGAGGAGCCUGCGUCCGAUUAGCUAGUUGGUGGGGUAAGAGCCUACCAAGGCGAUGAUCGGUAACUGGUCUGAGAGGACGACCAGUCACACUGGGACUGAGACACGGCCCAGACUCCUACGGGAGGCAGCAGUGGGGAAUAUUGGACAAUGGGGGCAACCCUGAUCCAGCGAUGCCGCGUGAGUGAAGAAGGCCUUCGGGUCGUAAAGCUCUUUAGGUUGGGAAGAAGGUUGUGUGGGGACAAUCCAUGCAAUUUGACGGUACCGACAGAAUAAGCACCAGCUAACUACGUGCCAGCAGCCGCGGUAAUACGUAGGGUGCGAGCGUUAAUCGGAAUUACUGGGCGUAAAGCGUGCGCAGGCGGAUUGUUAAGCAAGAUGUGAAAUCCCCGGGCUUAACCUGGGAAUGGCAUUUUGAACUGGCAGUCUAGAGUGCGUCAGAGGGGGGUGGAAUUCCACGUGUAGCAGUGAAAUGCGUAGAGAUGUGGAGGAACACCAAUGGCGAAGGCAGCCCCCUGGGAUGACACUGACGCUCAUGUACGAAAGCGUGGGUAGCAA